AACCCAUGUUGAGGACAUUUCCAUAGGAGCUCUUUGAACCUAUCUCAUGUCUCAAAAAGAGACUCCAAUUCCAUUUGCACAAAGAAGAUAUUUCAUUACUAAGCUU